rnacentral:lncRNA from 1 species
AAAUAUUAUGUUUCCAAAACGUCCGUCUCAUGAAUCUAAGGCAUCUUCUAACUAUGGUCGACCAACUUAUUCGACCCAUAGUUAACUCACGAUCACUUCUUCGCCCACCUCGUACUUCAAAACUUCUCGAUCGAUCCAUAUCGCCCGCGACUCGACCACCACAAAGAUACUCGACCAUUUCUUUUUUUUUUUUUAACGGGUUUCUACAACGGACAUCCUGCGUGUGCUGACGGACAUCCUGCGUGUGCUGACGGACGUCCUGUGUGUGCUGACGGACGUCCUGUGUGCACUGACGGACACACGGACACACACGGACAGCCACAGACGUCCUGCGUGUGCUGACGGACGUCCUGUGUGUACUGAACAGACAGCCCACGUGGGCCAAAAUCACCCGAACAGUCCACGGAGCGUGCUGAUAUGUGUACUGAUGGACAGCCGGACGUCCUUUGUGUGCUGACGGACGGCCACAGACGUCCUGUGUGUGCUGACGGACACACACGGACGUCCGUGUGUG